rnacentral:lncRNA from 1 species
GGCAGUCUCUACCUAGGGCGCGAUGCCCUUACCGCGAUCGUCAGCCGGCUCGCUCGGUCCCGGCUCUGUGGAAAUAGUGGGGUGAGAACUACAACAAAGUUCCCAGUGGGUUCGGCAACCAACCACGCCGACUUUCCCACUAGGUCUAAUCAGGCAUAAUAGAAUAGAAGAAAGAAAGUAACCAACUAACAAAUGCAACUAAUAUGCCUGAACAAUAUAAAAUGCGAUGCUCGAUAUAAUGCUCAUGAUGAAUGCAAGAUCACAGUUCCUUUACCCAAUCUCUUGGCUAACCCGUAAGUUUCGCCCUUAAUAGACUCACGAACCCAAAAUCCUAAUAAUCGGGGAGAUACCCGCUACACCCGAUAGGACCGUCCUCUGGGGAGAUACCCGCUAUGACCCAGUGAUGACAACUCCGGAGCUCAUCGCCUGAAGGGGAGCUACCACCCUCGAGCAAGGACUAAAGGUGAGUACGAUAAAUCCUACAUUGAGGAUUCCAAGUUCAGUUCAUUCCUUAACUUUAAGGAAGACCAUGCUCAUAUGACCAUUAACUCUAAGGUUGAAAUGUCAUAAUCUCUCAAUCAUUUUUUUCCUUGCGUUCUUUACUAUCGCUAGUAUCAUAUACACUACUAUAUUCUUGGACUCAUGCCACACUUGCUUUUUAAGUAUUAUGUUCUUGAUUCAUGCCACACUUGUUUUCUAAGUGUUCAAGACUCAUCAAUGUCACUCACUAGAUCUAUGUCAAGGUGUCACUUUUGUUCACUAAACCUUCUAGGUUCUUGUCACUUGUCAUGCAUAAAUAGGGUUUACAAUUCUCACAUUCUUACAAGUAUUUCACAUGAAAUUAAAAUCACAAUCAUGCCCUAAAAGCUUCCAAUUAACCCUACUAUGCAACAUGCUCAAUAUAUACAUAUAUGUUCAAACAUGACACUUUAGACAUAAAGGGAUUUCCGAGGUCCUUGGAAUGCACCACCCACCUCUAACAGUUGCAGGGAUGCUACGGUGAAUUUCUUGAAAUUUUUGAAGCCCUACUCCGCGUGGUGCGGUGAUCUGUUACAUAACGAAGCCAAAUUAGGCUUUUUAUUCAAUAACUUUGCGUACACUCAUCGGAUUGUCGAACCGAGCGCACCAACGCGUUUAAAAUACCCUCAAUUAGGUUUCUACAUGAUUAAAAUAGAUCAAAAUCUAACUUAGGCAAAACCCCUCUUUGGGAUGCCCUAACAUAGCAUCUAUUAAAUCCUAGGUUUUGAUCUCUUGUACAAGCAAAAGAGAGCUUGUUGAAGUAUUAGGAACUAAGUUAGAACCUUCCCAAACCAUUUCUAGGGCAUCUAAAACAAACCCUAGGAGUUCACCAUGAGAGGACCUUGAGCUUCCAUGGAUUUUCAUGGAGCUCAAGCCUCUAGAGGGUUCCUACACUUAGUUAGACGUCCACAACCCAAACCCUAGGGUAUAAAACUAAACCCUAACAUUAAGUUUUCAUAAAAACCUUACCUUAACCAAAGCUAUCCCAAGUCCUCCUUGUAGGAGAGCUUCUAAAGCCUUCAAAGCCUCCAAAACCCAAGUUUUCUCCUUCCAAUCUCAUCCAACUCCACCUCUUGGAGAGCUCUCUAGAGAGAGAAAGUGAGAGAAAUGAGAGAGGGAGAGUGUAAGGGUGUUUGGCUGUGAGGGGAGGUGUUUGGGGUAUAUUACAUGUUGUAACAAUAGCAACUAAGCCCACCAAAAAUUCUUAUUUGUAGCAGACUUCAAACUGCUGUCGGGGCCAGUUUGUACCGGUACACUUUGGUGUUACCGGUUACACGACUGUGAGAGGCCAAACCAAAGAGCAGAUCUCUCGGUUUCGCAGGUUUUGUAUCGGUACACUUGAUUUGUAUCGGUACACUUUCAACCAGAAUCAAACCCGAGAGCUCUAUCUCUCAGUCUGCGUAUCUGUACCGGUACAGAUACGCCCAUGUACCGGUACACUUGCUCCAGACUUGGUUUUUGGCUCCGACUCGACUCCACUUCGCCCCGCUUGAUGCCAAAACCAUUCUAACUUCUUUAGAACUCAUUUUUAGCCCUUUCAAUUUUGUUGAAAUGCUAAAUGGAACUCGCCCAACCAUUACUUUCGACAUUUUAACCAAUUUGGUUAAAAUUUCGAUUAUCGCUUUCGGGUUUCGAUAUGUUACAUUCUCCACCCCUUAAAAUUUGUUUCGUCCGCGAAACUAUUUAAUUGAAAUCUAGAUUCAUACCUCAAUCCAGAUUCUCGAAGAGAUGGGGAUAUUGCUCUCUCAUUGAGCUCUCAAGCUCCCAAGUAGCUUCCCGAUCGUCGUGGUUGCACCAACGAACCUUAACAUACGGAAUCUCCCGGUUUCGUAGCUUUCUUACCUCCCUAUCAAUAAUGUACGCCGAGAAUUCCUCAUUAGUCAUAUCCUCUUGAAUCUCGGACGGUUCAAACGAGAGAAUAUGCUCGGGAUCGUGCACAUACUUGCGGAGAUUUGACACGUGAAACACAUCGUGCACUCCCACCAGUCUCGGCGGUAAAGCUAACUUGUAGGCCGCCGCGCCAACCCGCUCCAAUAUCUCGAAUGGUCCAAGGUACCAGGGACUUAGUUUCCCCCGAACUCCAAACCAUUUAAUUCCCUGCAUCAGCGAUACUUUUAGGAACACGUGGUCUCCAACGGCAAACUCUAUAUCUUUCCUCCGUUUGUCAGCAUAGUUCUUUUGUCGUGAUUGCGUCGUAGCAAGUCGUUGGCGGGCGAGGCGAACUUUCUCCUCCGCCUCCCGAACUGCAUCGGGGCCGAGAGCCACUCUCUCGCCCACAUCGCUCCAAUGGAUUGGAGAGCGACAUUUCCUUCAAUAAAGGGCCUCGCAUGGCGCCAUCGCGAUACUCUCUUGGUAACUGUUAUUGUACGCGAACUCCGCCAUUGGUGGAUGAUCAUGCUAAUUGCCCUUGUAAUCAAGUACACACGCUCGAAGCAUAUCCUUAAGUAUUUUUAUCGUCCUCUCCGAUUGACCAUUAUUUGAGGAUGAAAUGCCGUGCUAAAGUCGAGCCGCGUGCCCAAUGCCUCCUGUAGGCUCCUCCAAAAGUGAGAUGUAAAUCUUGGGUCCCGAUCCGAUACGAUAGACACGGGCACUCCAUGAAGUCUCACAACCUCGUCGAUAUACACUUGAGCCAACUUGUCCCCCGACCAUGUAAUAUGAAUCGGUAGGAAAUGCGCCGACUUCGUCAACCGGUCCACUAUAACCCAAAUUGCAUCGUGCCCACCUUGAGAUCGUGGCAAUCCCGUCACAAAGUCUAUAGCGAUAUUCUCCCAUUUUCAAACGGGUAUAGGUAAGCUUUGUAAUUUCUCCACAGAAAACCGCCGCUCCGCUUUUACUUGUUGGCAAGUAAGACAUUGCGCAACAAACUCCCCAAUGUCUUUCUUCAUACCCGGCCACCAAUAGUGCAAUUUCAGAUCUUGAUACAUUUUGGUGCCGUCCGGGUGAUACUAUAAGGAGAUUGAUGCGCCUCUUGCAUAAUUGCUUUGCGGAUGUCCUUAUUCUUAGGUACACACCGACGAUUUCGAAAUCAAAGUGUGCCGUCGGUCCCAAUGCCAAAAUCAUCGGCACUACCGCUCUCAACUUCACUACGCACCUUUUGGAGAUACUUGUCGGAAGUUUGCAACUCCUUUAUCCUCUCCAACAAGGUCGGUUGAACAACCAACGCCGCAAGUGUAGCUGACACUCCUACCGCUACUACUUCCAAUCCAAGCCGUUGCAUCUCUUUUUGCAAUAAUGGUUGGGGUGUAAUAGCCGAAGCCAAGUUUUUCCCCAAUUUUCUACUAAGUGCAUCGGCCACGACAUUUGCUUUCCCCGGGUGAUAUAGUAUAGUGAUGUCAUAAUCUUUCAAUAACUCUAACCACCACCAUUGUCGCAUAUUCAAUUCCUUCUGGGUGAACAAGUACUUAAGGCUCUUAUGAUCUGUAUAGAUCUCACAAUGUUCACCAUACAAGUAGUGCCUCUAUAACCUUAGCGCGAAGAUAACCGCCGCUAACUCGAGGUCGUGAAUCGGAUAGUUCUUUUCAUAAUUCUUCAAUUGGCGCGUAACCCGCCUAUUUUCCAUCAAGACACACCCGAUACCGACAUAGGAAGCAUCACUGUAUACAACAAAGGUCUCCCCCAGCGUCGGUAGAGCAAGCACCGGGGUCGUUGUCAACCUUUCCUUUAGCUCUUCGAAGCUCCGCUCGCAUUCGGGACUCCAAAUAAACUUUACUCCCUUGUGUGUGAGGCGCAUUAGCGGAGUGGUUAUUUUAGCGAACCCCUCCACGAACCGCCGAUAGUAGCACGCUGGCCCAAGAAAACUGCGGACCUCCGAUACGCUCGUCGGGCGAGGCCAAUCUUUAAUUGCCUCCACUUUCUUCGGGUCAACCGAGAUACCAUUACCCGAAAUCACAUGACCAAGGAAAGUGACCUCCGAUAGCCAAAAGUCGCAUUUCUUCAAGUUGGUAUAAAGCUUCUAUUUUCGGAGUAUUUCCAAUACGGUCCUCAAGUGCUCCUCGUGUUCUUCCUCGGUCCGAAAAUAUACCAAUACGUCGUCAAUGAAUAUCACGAUGCACCGGUCCAAUAGCGGACGGAAGACCCUAUUCAUUAAGUCAUGAAUGCCGCCAGGGCGUUGGUAAGCCCAAACGGCAUUACCGUGAACUCGUAAUGGCCAUACCGCGUAUGGUACGCUGUUUUGUGCACAUCCUCAGGCCGUAUCUUCAACUGGUGAUUCCCCGACUGAAGGUCUAUCUUGGAAUACACCUUUGACCCUUGCAACUGAUCGAAUAAGUCAUCAAUUCUCGGCAACGGGUACUUGUUCUUAACUGUGACCUUGUUCAAUUCGCGGUAAUCCACGUAGAGUCGAAGUGUGCCAUCUUUCUUUUUAACAAAUAGCACCGGAGCUCCCCAAGGUGACACGCUCGGCCUCACAAAGCCUUUAUCGAGCAAGUCUUGCAACUGUGCCUUUAAUUCCUUUAGCUCCGCCGGUACCAUUCUAUACGGAGCCUUCGAAAUUGGCGUCGCCCCGGGUACCUAGUCAAUAACGAACUCGAUCUCCUGGUCCGAUGGCAAUCCCGGUAACUCCGCCGAAAAUACAUCCGGAAACUCGCACACUACCCGAAUACCACUAAGUUCCGGAUGCUUCUUUUGGGCUUCUACCAUUGUCGCCAAGUAGGCUACACAUCCACCUUUUAUCAUUUUUCUCGCCCUCGCCGCCGAUAUGGUCGCAUCGAAGCACAAGCUUUUACAUGCCUGAUAUACUAACUCCUCUUAGUUAGGCUCACGGAAUGUAAUCACCUUACUUUCACAGUCUAUUACGGCAUAAUACUUGGAGAGCCAGUUGAUCUCCAAGAUUACGUCAAAGCCCCACAUCUGUUUCAACACCAAUAGGUCUAUCGGCAUGACCCAGUCACCAAUCUGUACUGGGCACGCCAAACACUCGUUAUGAACAUGAAACGAGUGUUCGGGAGUAUUCACUGACCAAUAAUCCUCGUUAUGCACAAUCUCAAUGCCAUGAGUUCUAGCGAAUGAUGCACCUAUGAAUGAAUGCGAUGCACCUGUGUCGAAUAAAGCUCUAGCUCUAAUGCCAUGGAUCGAGAUAAUACCUGCCACGACAUCGUCGGGAACUGCGAUCGGCUCCUCCACCUGAGUGGCAAAAAUCCGCCCACUCGGUGCUCUCAAUGCCUCCGGCUGAAGCGAUGCAGAUGAGCGUCCCGCCGACAUAGCUGGUGGUAACCCCACAAGCUGUCUCGGGGUCGACGGAACUGAUGCCGAGAUCGGUGCAGAUGAACCACGGCUCGGGCACUCCCGUGACAAGUGCCUCGGUUGGCCACACUUAAAGCACUUUCCCUCGCGCUGCGGGCAUGCCGGCGGUUGAUGGUUGCCGCUGUAGAUAACACAAUAGGAUGCCCUCCAAUCUCUCGACUAUUGUCGGGGAUACUGAAGGGGUUUCUUUGCAUUCGACCGACCCCCGAUGCCACCCGCCGCCCGCUUCUUGCUCUUGUCCUUUGCCUCGGCUGCGGACUCGCGCUCCUCGCGUUUGUGGGCAUAGCCAUGCUCCGCCCACAAGACUCGAUCAAAGACCUCAGUAAAGGUCGUCAGCUUGAGGAUUUGCACGGUCCUAUAGAUCCCCGGCCGAAGUCCUCGCAAGAACCAAUCGGCCCAGUCCCGGUCAUCUCGAACAACAUCCGGGACACAGUCGAUGAGGUGGGAGAACUUCUGCUCGUAGUCUGCCACCGAGCGAUCUCCCUGUCUCAACUUGUAGAAUUUCUCUUGCAACUUCCGCUUCACGGUGUCAGAAAAGUAGUUGGCGAACACCGCCCUCUUGAACUCCUCCCACAUCAUAGGCGGAAGAUCGGGAGACCGAUCCCGCCGCACCCGCUUCCACCACACCAUCGCCGCCUUCUCGAGGUAAUGUGUGGCUAGGUACACCUUGUCCUUCUCCAAGGUGUUCAGAUCCUCAAAUAGCUUCUCUAUGGAGUCGAUCCAUUACUCCACCACCGCCGGUUCCACCACCCCCCCUUCGAAGAUAGGUGGGUGGAACUACUGGAAUUGAAUCAGGGCUACCAACGUGCGCUCCUGCUCCGCCUCUUCCACAGUACUGUCGGAAUUUGAGGUUCCCGAACCGGCUGGUAUCGCCGUGACUGGUACGGCCGCGACUGGCGCCGCCGCCGCCGCUACUCCCUCUACCAUCGUCGGUACCACAACAGGGGGCGCAGGGUGUUCGGCCCCCACUUGAGCGGCCGUCGCCUGCUGUCGCUCCAACGCCUCCUGGAGCCUAUGGAUUUGCUCCCCUUGACGCUGAACAGACUCCGCUUGCUGCCGCACUACGUCAAUCAGCGCGGCCAUCUGCUCCCGAAGCUCCCCGUCGCCACCCGCUCCAGGUUGCACAGAAGCCGCUCUCGAUUCCUCGGACAUCGACCUUGUUCGCGGUCGUUCACGAGGUCAAGGUGCCAUUGCUUCCUGUAACAAAGCAAUUUACAUUAGUUACUUAACCAAUAUACUCAAACUUACCGAAUCCGGCGAAAGCAAUAAGUGUAUUUAUUUUCAUUCCGAAGCAUCAUGUCGUCGGCCGCCGAUCACAACACAAGAAAAAGAAAACAAACAUCAACUUAAAUUUAGUCCCUAACCACAUUAGAGACAUAUUAACAUUAACCCAAUCCAAGCUUUCGCUAUUGUUUAGUUCCACGUUACUCACAUUUCCUAGAUCCUUAAGGUUAUUCUAAUCCUAAAGGUCUCUAGGUCCAUCCUAUACUUUCGCCUUCUAGUUCUUUACGCUCUAAUACCAUUAUAUCUGUCAUGCACUGAACCCGGUCCUAUUUGGCAGGUUCGAGCGCGUCGAAUAGACGUCGAACGGACAGAGCCUCCCCUGUCCGCCCAAGGCUUAACAACCUGUACAAAUAGAGUACCAACUUGCACAUGCGGAAGCAAAUAUAAUGGCUUGCACGAGGACAAGCAAUAGCCAAAGUGAAAGAGCUAACUAAUCACAUACAAGUACUAUGAUUAAAUUUAAAUCACAUACUUAAACACUUACAUUCUUUUUCAUCAUUUCUUUUUACAUCUCAUAUCUCCAAAAUAUAACAUUUAAUAUUAAGUAAAUUCUUUUACAUCAUUCAUGUCCUUUCAUAUAACAACUAUAAUCAUCAAAAUACAAAAGAUGAUAUAUCAAAAGGGUAUGCAACUAUGAAAAUAAAACAUCUCGGGCGGUCUCUGCCUAGGGCGCGAUGCCCUUACUGCGAUCGUCAGCCCCUCGCUCGGUCCCGGCUCUGUGGAAAUAGUGGUGUGAGAACUACAACAAAGUUCCCAGUGGGUUCGGCAACCAACCACGUCGACUUUCCCACUAGGUCUAAUCAGGCAUAAUAGAAUAGAAGAAAGAAAGUAACCAACUAACAAAUGCAACUAAUAUGCCUGAACAAUAUAAAAUGCGAUACUCGAUAUA